AGUGGGGUUGCUGAGUCAUAUGGUGAGUGUACCUUUAACUUUAAAGGAAACUGCCAAACUGUUUUCCAAAGUAACUGUACCGCUUGGCAUUCCUACCAGCAAC
rnacentral:pre_miRNA from 1 species